GGGGUUCUUCCACAUCUGCUCACCCUGCCAUGGGUAUUCGGGUCCUUUGCUGUGUGUCUGUGGUCCUUUGUCUCCUGGGGAGUGCACAGACACUGGAGUCACCCAGGAACCCAGGCACCAGACAGACCUCAGUGCAGGGACUGGAGUUUCUGAUGUACUUCCUCAAUCAAGCUCCUGCGGACGAGACAGGGAUGCCCAAGGACAGAUUCUCAGCUGAGAUGCCUGACAGAUCAUUCUCCACUCUGAAGAUCCAGUGGACAGAACCCGGGGACUCAGCCGUGUACCUCUGUGCCAGCAGCUUAGCCACAGCGCUGCAGAGUCACCACCUCCCUGUGCAGAAACCCUCGCUUCCCCUUCCUGCUCCAGCUUUCAGCCAUCCUGAGUAA